ensembl:lncRNA
AGGGCUUGUUCACCGAAACUUGGUCUCCCCAUGUCGUUCUCUCUCUCACUCUGGCUGAGUCUCCAUCUGGAGCGCGGAACCCACCAUGCUUACUAAUUAUGCCUGGGCUUCUAAGAUCCGACCGGGGAGGCCUCAGUGUCUCCUCUCCUUUGCGAGAAUGGAAGGACGCCUGCAGCCUACGCAAGAAUACUGGAGUGAGUUGCCACUUCCUAUUCCAGAGGAUCUUCCCGACUCAGGAAUGGAACCUACAUGUCUUGUGUCUCCUGCACUGGCAGGUGGAUUCUUUACCACCUGGGAAGCCCAAAACAUACUUAUUUCUCCAUUCGCUUCAGUCCUGUCCGACUCUGUGCGACCCCAUAGACAGAAGCCCACCAGGCCCUGCUGUCCCUGGGAUUCUCCAGGCAAGAACAAUGGAGUCGGUUGCCAUUUCCUCCUCCAACACAUGAAAGUGAAACGUGAAAGUGAAGUCACUCAGUCGUGUCUGACUCUUAGCGACCCCAUGAACUGCAGCCUACCAGGCUCCUCUGUCCAAGGGUUUUCCAGGCAAGAGUACUGGAAUGGGUUGCCAUUGCCUUCUCCGAAACUCUCUUUAGAUAUUCUCAAAUUUAUCAAUUCAAGAAUAUCUGCUGGUUUAAAAUUAUGUUCUGAUGACUGUGAAAGUAAGAGAGUAAAUACAACAUUUAC